UAUCUGGGUUGGCUUUGCUGUCUUCCCCACUCCGGGGCCCAAGCAAAGGAGUAUGAGAGACCAUCUUUCCUAGGAUGCACUGCGGUCCAUUCAGCUUCACUUCCUCUUCAGGCGGAGGAAGGAUACAGGGAAGCUUUCUGGUUAAAGCCGAGUUACAGGGUAUGGGUGUCGGAAGCAGAGGGUCUGAAGUUCACGCCGUCUAGAAGGGGAGGGGAAUGAAAGGCUGUCAGUGAGAAGAGUGUACAUAAUGUGCUCGAAUACAUCGUCUCGUCCUCACGCCAGUCCUGCGAUACCUUUACCAGCAUGUAUCCUGACCGGGGACCGAACUGCCAGGGCAUGUGCUCUGACCAGGAAUCGAACUGGGGACCUUUCAGUACACAAGAUGAUGCUCAACCAAUUGAGCUACAGUGACCAAGGUCUUCUCAGAAGCCUUCUAUGCUGAUGACAUUGUGACUCUUUCAAGAGAGCAGCAGUGAUGGCUCCAGAAUGUCUAGGGAGAGGAAGAGCUUAGUGUCAAGAGUCUGCUCACAGCACAAGAUACUCUAGGAUGUGUCCUUCAGCUACAUCUGUUUUGCACACUUUCAUUUAGAGCUAUACCAGCAUAAUAUGGAAAUCAACUGAACGGCUGAACAGCGGAACGACCGGACGACCAUCCAGGACCACGCUGUGACACCCACUGGCUCCAGGCUAGCCAAGGCAGAUGCGAUGCGAUUGGUCUGGGCCCGGCCAUCACCCCAGAUCGACCCGCAGAGGGAUGCCCAGGCCAUCAGCCAGCGGGAUGAUCAAUCGGGGGGCUCCAUGAUCGCCCAGAAGAAGGAGGCCCAGGCCACUGACCAGUGGGCUGCAGCGGGUUCAGAACUCUUCAGAUCAACUUACCAGUAAGUUGAAUAUGUAAAACAGAUAAGCGCAGUUGAAAUGGGGCCAGAUAAGAGUUAUUUCAACCUGAUAGCAUCCCUGCCAUCAUUCCUACCCUCCAUCCCUUUCUCCCCGCACCCCCCCCCCCACCACCACCACCAGAAGAAGCUCCAGAGGGUACUUUGGAAACCAUUGGAAAAAUUCAUCCCAUCAUAUAUAACUUAAAAUGCCACAUCUUUAAUAUGCUACAUUAAAAUUUUUACUUAUUUCAA